rnacentral:rRNA from 1 species
UGGUGGGUAGUUUGACUGGGGCGGUCUCCUCCCAAAGAGUAACGGAGGAGCACGAAGGUGGGCUAAUCACGGUUGGACAUCGUGAGGUUAGUGCAAUGGCAUAAGCCCGCUUGACUGCGAGAAUGACAAUUCGAGCAGGUGCGAAAGCAGGUCAUAGUGAUCCGGUGGUUCUGAAUGGAAGGGCCAUCGCUCAACGGAUAAAAGGUACUCCGGGGAUAACAGGCUGAUACCGCCCAAGAGUUCAUAUCGACGGCGGUGUUUGGCACCUCGAUGUCGGCUCAUCACAUCCUGGGGCUGAAGUCGGUCCCAAGGGUAUGGCUGUUCGCCAUUUAAAGUGGUACGCGAGCUGGGUUUAGAACGUCGUGAGACAGUUCGGUCCCUAUCUGCCGUGGGCGUUGGAAGAUUGAAGGGGGCUGCUCCUAGUACGAGAGGACCGGAGUGGACGAACCUCUGGUGUUCGG